CCUACGGGCGGCAGCAGUGGGGGAUAUUGCACAAUGGGGGAAACCCUGAUGCAGCGACGCCGCGUGGGUGAAGAAGCGCCUCGGCGCGUAAAGCCCUGUCAGCAGGGAAGAAAAUGACGGUACCUGAAGAAGAAGCACCGGCUAACUACGUGCCAGCAGCCGCGGGAAUACGUAGGGGGCAAGCGUUAGCCGGAUGUACGGGGUGUAAAGGGGGCGAAGACGGCGAUGCAAGCCAGGAGUGAAAGCCCGGGGCCCAACCCCGGGACGGCUCUUGGAACUGCGUGGCUAGAGUGCAGGAGGGGCAGGCGGAAUUCCUGGUGUAGCGGUGAAAUGCGUAGAUAUCAGGAGGAACACCGGUGGCGAAGGCGGCCUGCUGGACUGCAACUGACGUUGAGGCCCGAAAGCGUGGGGAGCAAACAGGAUUAGAUACCCUUGUAGUC
rnacentral:rRNA from 1 species